CAACUACUCUAUCUGUUCCAAAUUUCUUGUCUUAGAUUUGUCUAGAUACGGAUGUAUCUAAUACUAAAAUGUGACUUGAUACAUCCGUAUCUAGACAAAUCAAAGACAAGAAUUUUGGGACGGAGGGAGUACUUU
rfam:Triticum aestivum genome assembly, contig: Triticum_aestivum_CS42_TGACv1_scaffold_148788_2BS